AUUGAACGCUGGCGGCAGGCCUAACACAUGCAAGUCGAGCGGAUGAAGGGAGCUUGCUCCUGGAUUCAGCGGCGGACGGGUGAGUAAUGCCUAGGAAUCUGCCUGGUAGUGGGGGAUAACGUCCGGAAACGGGCGCUAAUACCGCAUACGUCCUGAGGGAGAAAGUGGGGGAUCUUCGGACCUCACGCUCUCAGAUGAGCCUAGGUCGGAUUAGCUAGUUGGUGGGGUAAAGGCCUACCAAGGCGACGAUCCGUAACUGGUCUGAGAGGAUGAUCAGUCACACUGGAACGGAGACACGGUCCAGACUCCUGCGGGAGGCAGCAGUGGGGAAUAUUGGACAAUGGGCGAAAGCCUGAUCCAGCCAUGCCGCGUGUGUGAAGAAGGUCUUCGGAUUGUAAAGCACUUUAAGUUGGGAGGAAGGGCAGUAAGUUAAUACCUUGCUGUUGUGACGUUACCAACAGAAGAAGCACCGGCUAACUUCGUG
rnacentral:rRNA from 1 species